AAUAGAUACCCCGGUAGUCCACGCCGUAAACGAUGAGUGCUAAGUGUUAGGGGGUUUCCGCCCCUUAGUGCUGCAGCUAACGCAUUAAGCACUCCGCCUGGGGAGUACGGUCGCAAGACUGAAACUCAAAGGAAUUGACGGGGGCCCGCACAAGCGGUGGAGCAUGUGGUUUAAUUCGAAGCAACGCGAAGAACCUUACCAGGUCUUGACAUCCCAUUGACCGCUAUGGAGACAUAGUUUUCCCUUCGGGGACAGUGGUGACAGGUGGUGCAUGGUUGUCGUCAGCUCGUGUCGUGAGAUGUUGGGUUAAGUCCCGCAACGAGCGCAACCCUUGUUCUUAAUUGCCAUCAUUUAGUUGGGCACUCUAAGGAGACUGCCGGUGACAAACCGGAGGAAGGUGGGGAUGACGUCAAAUCAUCAUGCCCCUUAUGACCUGGGCUACACACGUGCUACAAUGGACGGUACAAACGGUUGCCAACCCGCGAGGGGAGCUAAUCCGAUAAAACCGUUCUCAGUUCGGAUUGUAGGCUGCAACUCGCCUACA
rnacentral:rRNA from 1 species